rnacentral:lncRNA from 1 species
GCUGAAGCCGCUCGCAAGACUCCCGUAGUCCCCACCUCUCUCAGCUUCCGGCUGGUAGUAGUUCCGCUUCCUGUCCGACUGUGGUGUCUUUGCUGAGGGUCACAUUGAGCUGCAGGUUGAAUCCGGGGUGCCUUUAGACUUCCACCGCUGUCAGAAGGCAAUGACCGCUAAAGGAGGCGAUAUCUCUGUGUGCGAAUGGUACCAGCGUGUGUACCAGUCCCUCUGCCCCACAUCCUGGGUCACAGACUGGGAUGAGCAACGGGCUGAAGGCACGUUUCCCGGGAAGAUCUGAACUGGCUGCAUCUCCCUUUCCUCUGUCCUCCAUCCUUCUCCCAGGAUGGUGAAGGGGGACCUGGUACCCAGUGAUCCCCACCCCAGGAUCCUAAAUCAUGACUUACCUGCUAAUAAAAACUCAUUGGAAAA